GAUGAACGCUGGCGGCGUGCUUAACACAUGCAAGUCGAACGAGAAGUGAAGACGGAAACCUUCGGGCGGAAGGCUUUAUUUCGAGUGGCGGACGGGUGAGUAACGCGUGGGUAACCUGCCUCAUACAGGGGGAUAACAGUUGGAAACGACUGUUAAUACCGCAUAAGACCACAGCACCGCAUGGUGCGGGGGUAAAAACUCCGGUGGUAUGAGAUGGACCCGCGUUCGAUUAGCCAGUUGGCGGGGUAACGGCCCACCAAAGCGACGAUCGAUAGCCGAUCUGAGAGGAUGACCGGCCACAUUGGGACUGAGACACGGCCCAAACUCCUACGGGAGGCAGCAGUGGGGAAUAUUGCACAAUGGGGGAAACCCUGAUGCGGCGACGCCGCGUGAGUGAAGAAGUAUUUCGGUAUGUAAAGCUCUAUCAGCAGGGAAGAAAAUGACGGUACCUGAGUAAGAAGCCCCGGCUAACUACGUG
rnacentral:rRNA from 1 species